rnacentral:rRNA from 1 species
UGCGCAGGCGGAAUAAUAAGUCAGUGGUGAAAUCUCUCGGCUCAACCGAGAAACUGCCAUUGAUACUGUUAUUCUUGGGUAUAGUUGUAGUGGGCGGAAUAUAGCAUGUAGCGGUGAAAUGCUUAGAUAUGCUAUAGAACACCGAUCGCGAAGGCAGCUCACUAAACUAUAACUGACGCUCAGGCACGAAAGCGUGGGGAGCAAACAGGAUUAGAUACCCUGGUAGUCC